GAUGAACGCUAGCUACAGGCUUAACACAUGCAAGUCGAGGGGUAACGAGAGGAAAGCUUGCUUUCCUUGUCGACGACCGGCGCACGGGUGAGUAACGCGUAUCCAACCUGCCCCCAACUAGGGAAUAACCUUGCGAAAGUAAGACUAAUACCCUAUAAUUUCCUCAGAUGACAUCUGACGAGGAAUAAAGAUUUAUCGGUUGUGGAUGGGGAUGCGUCUGAUUAGCUUGUUGGCGGGGUAACGGCCCACCAAAGCAACGAUCAGUAGGGGUUCUGAGAGGAAGGUCCCCCACAUUUGAACUGAGACACGGUCCAAACUCCGACGGGAGGCAGCAGUGAGGAAUAUUGGUCAAUGGGCGGAAGCCUGAACCAGCCAAGUAGCGUGCAGGAUGACGGCCCUAUGGGUUGUAAACUGCUUUUAUACAGGAAUAAAGUUAGCCACGUGUGGUUAUUUGUAGGUACUGUAUGAAUAAGGACCGGCUAAUUCCGUGCCAGCCGCCGCAGUAA
rnacentral:rRNA from 1 species